rnacentral:rRNA from 1 species
GACGAACGCUGGCGGCGUGCUUAACACAUGCAAGUCGAACGGAAAGGCCCUGCUUUUGUGGGGUGCUCGAGUGGCGAACGGGUGAGUAACACGUGAGUAACCUGCCCUUGACUUUGGGAUAACUUCAGGAAACUGGGGCUAAUACCGGAUAGGAGCUCCUGCUGCAUGGUGGGGGUUGGAAAGUUUCGGCGGUUGGGGAUGGACUCGCGGCUUAUCAGCUUGUUGGUGGGGUAGUGGCUUACCAAGGCUUUGACGGGUAGCCGGCCUGAGAGGGUGACCGGCCACAUUGGGACUGGGAUACGGCCCAGACUCCUACGGGAGGCAGCAGUGGGGAAUAUUGCAGGAUGGGCGGAAGCCUGAUGCAGCAACGCCGCGUGCGGGAUGACGGCCUUCGGGUUGUAAACCGCUUUCGCCUGUGACGAAGCGUGAGUGACGGUAAUGGGUAAAGAAGCACCGGCUAACUACGUG